rnacentral:tRNA from 1 species
CAGCUUGUAUUUUAUUAGAAUAAUAACUUUGGGAGUUUUAGGUGUAAUUUUGUUACUUUGCUGA